CACGAACGCUGGCGGCAGGCCUAACACAUGCAAGUCGAGCGAAGCCUUCGGGCUUAGCGGCGGACGGGUGAGUAACGCGUGGGAACGUGCCCUUUGCUACGGAAUAGCCCCGGGAAACUGGGAGUAAUACCGUAUGUGCCCUUCGGGGGAAAGAUUUAUCGGCAAAGGAUCGGCCCGCGUUGGAUUAGGUAGUUGGUGGGGUAAUGGCCUACCAAGCCGACGAUCCAUAGCUGGUUUGAGAGGAUGAUCAGCCACACUGGGACUGAGACACGGCCCAGACUCCUACGGGAGGCAGCAGUGGGGAAUCUUAGACAAUGGGGGAAACCCUGAUCUAGCCAUGCCGCGUGAUCGAUGAAGGCCUUAGGGUUGUAAAGAUCUUUCAGUGGGGAAGAUAAUGACUGUACCCACAGAAGAAGCCCCGGCUAACUCCGUGCCAGCCGCCGCAGUAAAAC
rnacentral:rRNA from 1 species